AAAUCUCCAAACAGAGAGAAAACAACGUCUGCACAAAGAAGCUUGUUCUCUGAGUGAAGACGCUGUAGUUUAUCUCGUAGAGAUCUGGUCAAACUGAGACAUCACAUCAUGUCCCGCCACAACAAACAUCAUUUUAUCUUCACGUCACGUCUGUCCCUGCCUGCUUUAAACUUUAUUUCAACUUUAUUUCAAUUCUACACAUUUAACUUUAGAGAAUUCUGACAGCUUUGAUUCAAAGUCAGGUUUUAUUUUAUAAAUUCUAUGUUCAUAUGCAGUCUGUGAGUGUAACACUAGUGUGCUCAAAGUGUCAACAAUAUUAAAGUAUACAUGAUGCAGAUCCAUAUCCAAACAUGUCUGUAUAAUAACUCCAGACACCUGGAUCCACGUCCUCUACAGCAGUCAGGACCAGUGAUCCUGGUUCAACUCCUCCUGUUCUCCAUGUACAACAUGAACGCAUCACGCUGCACAGCUCGUUACAUCAUCAGCAGAUUAAAGAAUGAGUAUUAACUUUCAGGGAGGGAAAGUAAAUACAACAGCCUCCGCUGAUUCGACCAAUCAGGAGCCGCUGCUGGCAGAGCAGAAUCAACGGACCAAUGAGCGUUUUGUUUGUCUACGUUGGCUGGCGUGUGUUGUCAUUGGCCGUGACGUGUGACGUAAUCCCGUGACCUACUCAGAGGAGACGGAAGAGAUGGCGGCAGGAAAACAAAGUGGGAGAAAAGAGUGAAAAUACGGAGUCAAACAGCGUUUGAGUCGUCGUUUCGUUGAUUUGGUUUGUUAGCAGUUUGAUAAAGUUCAGUACUGAAGAUGUCUGGGUAAAAUAAAACAAGCUCUGGAGCUGGACUGAGGCUGGACUCUGAGCACAGCUGCGACGGGAAGGUGUAUGGACAGAAACAACUGGAUUCACUGAAGUUGAAGGAGGAGGAGGCGGGAGAUCUCUACCUAAAGCAAGAGAGAGAACAACAGUGAUGAAGCUGUUACACACCACAGAAGAAGACCUCCACCAUCUUCCUGCUCAGCCACUUCUUGUAAAACACUGUUGAUCUCCUGUUGUUUAAGUGGAGACACUGUGUUCAAGCUAACAACACUAUAAUGUUAUGAGCUCAGACUGGGAGAUAAAAUCAAAGCGCCUCCUAGUGGUCAAUCAGCUGUCAUUAUCUGCUGUGAUUUGUUAUAAUGUUGUCUGGAACAAAAUCAUUAAAGGUUUCUCUGAUUUCAAA